rnacentral:rRNA from 1 species
GAGUUUGAUCUUGGCUCAGAUUGAACGCUGGCGGCAUGCCUUACACAUGCAAGUCGAACGGCAGCAUGAUCUAGCUUGCUAGAUUGAUGGCGAGUGGCGAACGGGUGAGUAAUACAUCGGAACGUGCCCUGUAGUGGGGAUAACUAGUCGAAAGAUUAGCUAAUACCGCAUACGACCUGAGGGUGAAAGUGGGGGACCGCAAGGCCUCAUGCUAUAGGAGCGGCCGAUGUCUGAUUAGCUAGUUGGUGGGGUAAAGGCCCACCAAGGCGACGAUCAGUAGCUGGUCUGAGAGGACGAUCAGCCACACUGGGACUGAGACACGGCCCAGACGUCCUACGGGAGGCAGCAGU